rnacentral:rRNA from 1 species
GAUGAACGCUGGCGGCGUGCUUAACACAUGCAAGUCGAACGGUGAAGCCAAGCUUGCUUGGUGGAUCAGUGGCGAACGGGUGAGUAACACGUGAGCACCCUGCCCUGGACUCUGGGAUAAGCGCUGGAAACGGUGUCUAAUACUGGAUAUGAGACGUGAUCGCAUGGUCGUGUUUGGAAAGAUUUUUCGGUCUGGGAUGGGCUCGCGGCCUAUCAACUUGUUGGUGAGGUAAUGGCUCACCAAGGCGUCGACGGGUAGCCGGCCUGAGAGGGUGACCGGCCACACUGGGGCUGAGACACGGCCCAGACUCCUACGGGAGGCAGCAGUGGGGAAUAUUGCACAAUGGGCGAAAGCCUGAUGCAGCAACGCCGCGUGAGGGAUGACGGCCUUCGGGUUGUAAACCUCUUUUAGCAGGGAAGAAGCGAAAGUGACGGUACCUGCAGAAAAAGCGCCGGCUAACUACGUGCCAGCCGCCGCCGUAA